UAUUUUUUAUUCUCUCUAAAAUAAAAUAAACAAACAAAUAAAUAAGUAAGUAGUGUUUUAGGAUCACACAUUUAGACCUAUAAAUAACGCUGGUCCCAAAAGGAAGCAACCCAAACAGCCUGUGUACUUUGUCUAGUUCGACCUCACCGUGUCUGCGGAAUCGCUACCUUGGUUCCACUGAAUGGCCUGUGUGCGAAAACAUUAACUCUCCUGACUCAAGGAUCUCUUUCCUUCUUCUCCCCAUCUCAUCUCAUGUUAUUAUGCUGCUUUCCUUAACACUAAGGGCAUAACAGCAUUAGUAAACGACAUCCAGCCGUUCCUCACCUGGUCAGCGUUUCCCAUUUCUACAAAAAUGAAGUUGCUCUUAACCUUGUCUGAAUUUCUGUGAUUAAAGAUAGGAAGGAUAAUUAUGUUUCUAUCUGAAUUACUUAAUUUCACUAAGCUCCAAGUCUUAAAGCUGUUGGAGGUGGCAAAAACUUUAUUAUUUCUUACUAUUAACCAUUAUUGGUAUAUUAGAAUAUCAGCUGAAAAAAUCAAAUUCUACGACAAACUGGAAGGAAAGUUCUAUCAGACUGUAAGGAGCAGUGCGUUAAAUAGAGAAUAAUUGUUUUCAGCCCUGAAAACAAUGAGCAGCAAAAGAUUAAAUCACUGUUUUCACACAGGUGACUUUCAUAGUAAUUGGGGAAAAAAAAAGCCAAAAUGUAAAAAUCUGCAGCCAUAUAAUCUCUCAGGCUUACUAUCAGACAUUCUAGUAUGUGGAUUCCUUCUGGAAAUGGAGCCCUGAGUUGAGCUUAUUUCAUAGAAUAAUACACUUUGUUCUCAAAGUCGUCCCUGCAUUUCCCAGGGGAUUAAGUUUCAGAUCAGAUGCGGCCGUAACAGGCAGACAGGGAGAGAGCCCUUGGUCGCUGGUGAGGAAUCCAGUGCCCGGAGCAUAUCUUAGGUCGCCCUUCCUUCCUUUCAAAACACUCCUUAGCCAUACAUUUAGUCCCCUGAUUAGGUGAGGAUUCCUAACCUCCAGAUAACAAGAGGCAGGCAUAACCUGUUCCUUAGACUAUAGCGAAACAUGCCUGAGCCCACGGACUGUCUGACUCUCAAAUUUUGACCACUCUUUUCUGAAGCUGAGCUUCAGCUCUUCAGUUAGAAGUCAGAUAGGCAAAAAGAGAACUACAAAACUCAAUCACAAGUGUGUCUAUGUAUGAUCCAGGACAGACCUUUGCUCAGUUGUUUCCCAAACCUUAAAUGUGAAUUCUUCUUCAUGCCGUUACUGUUGGACUUGGUUCCCCUGGAGAAAAGAACAAAUGGUAAACCCUGAAAGGACCGGGCUUUUACCUGAUCCUGGUUUUCUUCUUGAUCCUGAUUUUCUUCAUCAUCAUGAAGGCUAUUGUUUGUUUGAACAAAGAGAAACAGGAGCCAUAGCUGUUUACAUUGUACAAAUGAGGGCACAGAUGGGAGGGGAGAGGACCUCUGCGUAAUGAGCAGAGACCGAUUCUCAGGCCCUGCCACCAGCACAGACAAAAGGAGACACCCGUCUCCUACCUUCUUUCCCUGCAUAAGGCACUGUAUUCGUCAUCUCUUAAACAACAGCUUCAUACGCCAGGGAGCUCCAGGCUUCUGUUAGGUUGUAGAUUAAAGAAGCAAUGGGAGUCUGACUUUUAAAGCACAAACUAAAACUCAGAACUCAGAUCACGCACCCACAGUGGUGCCACAGUUGCUACAUUAUCUUGUAGCAACUGAACAAGUCUAAAUCAAGUAUCCAAAGCUCUUGGGCAUAUUUGUCAUGGGGGUAUCUCACACUCAAUUCACCCUUGAAAUUUGGCCUCUUAGAAAGUGGCAGCCUCUUCUUACACAAAACAGGUUUCAAUCAGUAUUUAGAGAGCAAAUGAAUGAAAGAAUUUGCUUGAAUUAAAUUAAUGAAUUAAUUAGGCUUUUGUACUGAGCAGAAUCCACUUUCAUUUUAAUGAUUCAAAAUCGGGCUGCAAGAAUCCUUCUGAAACCUCAGAGCCAGUUUCCUAGGGUUUCGAACGCCCUCGGGGCACCUCCAAUCUAAGGAAGCAGCAGACUUAAGCUUCACACUCUAGUCAAGAGUAUGUUUAGUAAAGAAAAAAAAGCCAUCUGUAUGAGUACCAAACAAUGCUAUCAUGUGACAGAAUUUCUCCUGCCACCCACUGACUUGACACCAGAUCAGAUCACGUGAUUGUUUUAAAUCUAAAGGAUAAGUUACAUGUGUCAGGUUUUUUUAAUUUUAGGGAAAUAAAAGCAAAAAUGAAAGACAGAAUAGUUGCAAAUGCAGGUUCAAUAUGAGCCACAGUUCAACAUUCUAGUAUGUUAUUAAUUGUUUUCAAUGUACUAGAUCCUCAAAGCAUAAAAUGCAGGCAGCAUUUGUCAAUGAGAGGUUUUGCUAUUGCUUCCUGAACUAGCAAGGGAGUCUGGACUAAUUCGAUUCACGUGGGAAUUGGUGUUUACCGUCUAAGUCCUAAUGGAAAAGCACAUAAUUUCAAGCUGUAAAAAUAAAUAUGUAUGCACGCUGCCACCAAGCAGUGGCACCUUGCUGUAUUUUUCUUUUGAGAACAAGCCACUUUUCAAAGGGCUAUUUUCUUUCAUGUGGAAAUAUUUAUUUGCCAGCUUCCAUGGAACCGGUGUGAUGCACUAAAGCACCUUCUGUUUAGACUUUCACAAGAAAAUUGCUUCUGCACACAUUGUCUUGAGACCAUAGGUUCUGUUUUGUCUCUGUGCGUUCUGACAUUCAUCUUUUGUUUUUGUUUUAGCAGAAGAGCCUUUCAUUUAUGGUUUCUAGAAAGCCAGGUGCAUUGCAGUAUCUCUUAGGCACAAUCCUUGUUUCCCGUGAGUGUGUUGUUUAAUUGCUGAGCACCUACAACGUGCCUGACGCUGCAGCGGGCAGCUGCUCUCCAGCAGGCUGCAGGCAGGCCAGUCUCUUGCAGAAGCCUUGGGCCCUAGAUCCCCAUCUUCCAGACCACCUCCUCAUUUCUCACGAUGCACACAGUUCAGUCCUUCGGAGAGUGAAAAGUCCCCUUUGUGAGUCCAAAGGCCCUUGCUACCAGUCAAGAAGAGCAAGUUCCCAGGAUUCUGGUUUCAAGCCACUCUGGGCGAACAAUGGGGGAAGGCUCUCGCAGUAUUUGUCUUGCACCAGCUUACAAAUGUGCUUAGGUUGCAUUUAGGUGGUGUAUUUUUAAAAGUGAAAAAUCUGGCGUUUUGCAUUUAAUCCCAACUAAAGCUUUUUGAUAUAUUAAAAGGUCUUUCAAUCGCCAAGGCCUUGCAGCUUAGAUAUCAUCUUUGGAAAGGUUAAAUGAGUCGAUUUUCUGAAGCUUUUGUCAGCACAAGCAUGUAAGUUGGUCCUGCUGGAAAAAAGGGGGGGCAGCGCCGUCCAACCCUCUCUUCCGUCUCCGAGAAGCCUGUCUUCGGAGAGAAAGCCGCCACCACAGGGCUACGUACACUUUCAUUUAAGCAUUUAAUUUAGGCGAGGGAGGCCGGACGAUGUCUGUCGGCCCGGCUGCAGCCUCACAGAUUUCAGCAGGCAGCGCCAGGCAGAGCGCAGCCCUGGGCCGGGGCUGCCGGGAGGGGGCGCGCCCACGCGCACGGCGAAGACAAAGACCCGCGGCCAGGGCUUGCGAGGCCGGGGGCGGCUCCGGAGAGGCUGCGGGUAGAACCCGAGGUCCGACAGCAAGCGAGGAAGGCAGGACCUCUCCUUUCCACCUCCACAGAGAACGCCCAACACGCAGGAAGAAGAGGCUGGCUGCGGCGGCGCCUCUCUGGGGGCGGGAGUGCGUCUUCCUGGCAGCGCUCCCGCCCCGCACUCUCCGGAGACGCCCGAGCCGAGACCCCGCACUCGAGUGGCUGCGGUGGCAGCGGCCUGGCCCCGGGCUGGCGCGCGCUGUCGGGAGCCCGCUGUCUCCUGCGCCGCGCGGGGCCCACCGGCUCGCAGCCCCCCUCGGCCUCUCCUUUCGUCCUACUUCCUCGCCUCCACGGCCCGCCCCGCCCGGCCGCACAAUCGGUGACCUCAUUCCAACUGCUGCAGGCCUGGUGAAACUGCAGCCCAGGCCGGGGCGACCCGGCCAGUCUGCCUCGGAAACGCCAUCCGUGCGCCCCCGCGCGCACAGGCCACUCCCUCGCGCUCGGGCUCCGAGUGUCACAAAGCCCGAGGCGGGCGCUCUCGCGCAGGGCAUGUGUCUGUUAGCCCCGGCACUGCAGCGCCGCGGCCCUUCGCCGCAAGUCCUCCUGCCCCUGCAGCUACCUGCAGCCUGGUGCCGGGGUUAGAUGUGGCCCCCACAGCACUGCUGGACCCGCUGGGCGACUGCCUGCGGGGAACCUGAAAGAAACACAAGACCUGACUGUUGUAAACAAGCCUAGCAUUGCGAGGAUCCCGGGACCUUCAAGAGGAGAAACAAAAUGUAUCAGCCAUGGGUGAAGAAGGGGGCGCGAGGUCCCAGCCCUUCUCUCAGCCUUGGGACCUUCCCACCCUGGAUUCCAACCCCGGGUUCUUGGAAGCACUGCAGGGAGCCCUGGAGUCCUGGUCCGACCCUCUUUGGGGCUUUACUCUUAGCAGUAAAUUCCAGGCCUUGUGUGCACUCCCCACACAGUCAGCCCCAAGCAGGACUCAGUUUACCUGCUGGGCUCCCACAUUUGACCUCUGUUUCCACAAGGCUCUCAACCUACAGCCCUUUGACCUCUCUCCACUCCUACUUUGGCAGUUGCCAGUGUUGGGGGACUCAUUCAGACACGGACUGACCAGCCGCUGUGUGGAUUGAACACUGGACAGAACCUGGAGGCAUGUGGUCUGCUGGGCAGAGACCCUCAGUGACUCAUCACCUGCCUUAGCCGCCCUCAGGGAGGGUAGUGAGCCAGACAGGGUCGCAAGAGGGAUGAGCCCUUUCUCCCAGAGCUGAGCUAACAGCACAGGCCUGCAAGCCUUCACCCCCUUGUUCGCACACACACAUUGGCGCCUCUGGUUUUCUGCCAUGUCCUACCUCGGUCU